AAAAUGGAAAGUGAAUCAAGCAAAAUCUUUAAUCUCAAUAAUGAUGUCCAAAAUGAAGGCGUUCCUUAUGGCUAUCAUUCUCUUGGUGUUCACUCUUCUUACUUUCACAGCUCCAGCUUCAGCUCGAUCUCUAGCUAUCCAAAAUAAGAUCAAAUUGAUUUAUACCAAAAUUCUUCUUAAUAACCACAACAUAUGUUGAUAAAAAAGAAAAAAGUAGCUAUCCGUUGCCAAAGCCAACGCCGAGUCACAGGUGUUCUAGGGUUCGUGGUAAGCGUGUUUGCGUGGGAUAUUGAUAUGAAUAAGGCCAAGUUGCUUCCCCUUUAUCUUGUUCUUCAGGCUUCGAUUAUAUUAUAUAAAAGAUGGCUUCGAAUCGUGUGUAUUUGCACUUUGCACUUUGGAAAUUGGAAUUGGAAUUUGUUGUUUGAUGCGAGUGUUUAGAAAAUAAAACAUUUUUGUUUGGAUAA